GGGCCGUUAGCUCAGUUGGUAGAGCAGCGGACUUUUAAUCCGUUGGUCGCAGGUUCAAAUCCUGCACGGCCUACCA
rnacentral:tRNA from 4 species